CUGACUACACAUUCAGUUCAAGACAAUAGUCCUGAUGCCAAGAAAAAGCCGCCAACUAAAAUCUUUUUUCUCCUGCAGGAUUAAAAUCAUGACCAAAUCAUGCACAAAAGUCAGUGCCGGGCUCAGCCUGAGGGAGAACCAUAUGAAACAGAAAUGUGACCGGUCUGAAUCUGUUCCCACUGAAGAAGAAUUGGCCGAGCAGGGGGCGUGGCAGCUGGCUCAGCACCUGGCUCUCCUCCACAUCUGCAGCUGAUCAGCUCAUCACCGCUCAGCUCUUAAGCUCUUGCUUGUUGGAGGGCCGGUGCCAGAUUGUUUUGGGUAACAGACAGUUAUUGGCACACUAACUGUUUUUUUGAGUACUUGGCUUGUUGCAGACCUCCGGUGCCUCCGCACAUCGCCAGCCACACGCCAACACCCGGAUCCCCUUCCAGGCCCGGACUUCCUACCUCUCACUCUACUUC